rnacentral:rRNA from 1 species
AGUGAACGCUGGCGGUAGGCCUAACACAUGCAAGUCGAACGGCAGCACAGUAAGAGCUUGCUCUUACGGGUGGCGAGUGGCGGACGGGUGAGGAAUACAUCGGAAUCUACUUUUUCGUGGGGGAUAACGUAGGGAAACUUACGCUAAUACAGCAUACGACCUACGGGUGAAAGCAGGGGAUCUUCGGACCUUGCGCGAUUGAUUGAGCCGAUGUCGGAUUAGCUAGUUGGCGGGGUAAAGGCCCACCAAGGCGACGAUCCGUAGCUGGUCUGAGAGGAUGAUCAGCCACACUGGAACUGAGACACGGUCCAGACUCCUACGGGAGGCAGCAGUGGGGAAUAUUGGACAAUGGGCGCAAGCCUGAUCCAGCCAUGCCGCGUGGGUGAAGAAGGCCUUCGGGUUGUAAAGCCCUUUUGUUGGGAAAGAAAAGCAGCAUGUUAAUACCCCGCUGUUCUGACGGUACCCAAAGAAUAAGCACCGGCUAACUUCGUG